rnacentral:lncRNA from 1 species
GGCCAACGAGCACUUCAACUGUGCCUCAUGCAACUGAGGCAUAAAUUUUAAUUCUAUUUAAUUUUAAUUUAAAUAGCCACAUCUGGUUAGUAACUACUACAUCAUAUGGUAUAGCAGUGAAAGAUUGCUGAUCUGAAUCCCCGUAGGAACUCAGAGAUAGGAACCAGCAGCAUCUUAAAGACUAGCUCAGAUGAAAAAGGGGCUGCCAUGAAAUGAGGCCCCAAGAGCAUUGGCAGUGAGGUGAGGAUGUGGUGCAGGGGUAAGAACAAAGAACAGUAGAGGAAGUCCAACUUCCACUCAGGGGAUCCUGUAUUCAUUGCCUCAGCAAAGGUGCAGAAGAUGUGAAGCAGAAAUAGCCCAGAAGACCCUUUAUGGACUAAAAGUUUAUGUCCUUCUAAAAUUCAUAUGUUGAAGCCUUCACCCCCAGCGCGGCUUGGAGAAGGGACGUCUAAGGAUGUAGUUAAGGUUAAAUGAAGUCAUAAGAGCGGAGCUCUGAUCCAAUAGGAUUAGCGUCCUUAUAAUAAGAGACACCAGAGUGUUUGCUAGCUCUCUCCCCACCUGCACACACUGAGCAAAGGCCAUGGAAGGACAGCAAGAAGGCUGCCAUCUGCAAGCCGGGAGAGUUCUCACCAGAAACCUACCCUGCAGGACCUUACCCUGGACUUCGAGCUUCCAGACUGUGAGGAGGUCUCUUGGAGGAGAAGGGUGCCUGGGAAUUAAAUUAUUACACUGGGAAACUUGGUCAUUAUAAUUAAAAUGCCUAAAAGAUAAAUCUGCAUGCUCUUGCAAAGACCAUAGAAGAGAAAUAAGAGCCUUUAAGAUGAGCUCCUGUUUUUACCCUGUCUACUCAGCCACAAGUUUUCUGAAAUGCCUUAGUUCAUCCCUAAUGCAG